AGAAUCAACGCUGGCGGCGUGCCUAACACAUGCAAGUCGAACGAGAAAGUGGAGCAAUCCAUGAGUAAAGUGGCGCACGGGUGAGUAACACGUGACUAACCUACCCUUGAGUGGGGGAUAACCUAGAGAAAUCUGGGCUAAUACCGCAUAAUACCUUCGGGUCAAAGGAGCAAUUCGCUUAAGGAGGGGGUCGCGGCCGAUUAGUUAGUUGGCGGGGUAAUGGCCCACCAAGACUAUGAUCGGUAUCCGGCCUGAGAGGGCGCACGGACACACUGGAACUGAAACACGGUCCAGACUCCUACGGGAGGCAGCAGUGGGGAAUUUUGCGCAAUGGGGGAAACCCUGGCGCAGCAACGCCGCGUGGAGGAUGAAGUCCCUUGGGACGUAAACUCCUUUCGAUCGGGACGAUUAUGACGGUACCGAGAGAAGAAGCCCCGGCUAACUUCGCGCCAGCAGCCGC
rnacentral:rRNA from 1 species